rnacentral:rRNA from 1 species
CUAUAACGGUCCUAAGGUAGCGAAAUUCCUUGUCGGGUAAGUUCCGACCCGCACGAAAGGCGCAACGAUCUGGGCACUGUCUCAACGAGAGACUCGGUGAAAUUAUAGUACCUGUGAAGAUGCAGGUUACCCGCGACAGGACGGAAAGACCCCGUGGAGCUUUACUGCAACCUGAUAUGGAAUGUUUGUACCGCUUGUACAGGAUAGGUAGGAGCCGAAGAGACGUGUGCGCUAGCAUACGAGGAGGCAAUGGUGGGAUACUACCCUGGCUGUAUGACCAUUCUAACCCGCCACGCUUAGCGCGUGGGGAGACAGUGUCAGGUGGGCAGUUUGACUGGGGCGGUCGCCUCCUAAAGAGUAACGGAGGCGCCCAAAGGUUCCCUCAGAAUGGAUGGAAAUCAUUCGCAGAGUGUAAAGGCACAAGGGAGCUUGACUGCGAGACUGACAAGUCGAGCAGGGACGAAAGUCGGGCUUAGUGAUCCGGUGGUUCCGCAUGGAAGGGCCAUCGCUCAACGGAUAAAAGCUACCCCGGGGAUAACAGGCUUAUCUCCCCCAAGAGUCCACAUCGACGGGGAGGUUUGGCACCUCGAUGUCGGCUCGUCGCAUCCUGGGGCUGUAGUCGGUCCCAAGGGUUGGGCUGUUCGCCCAUUAAAGCGGCACGCGAGCUGGGUUCAGAACGUCGUGAGACAGUUCGGUCCCUAUCCGUCGCGGGCGCAGGAAAUUUGAGAGGAGCUGUCCUUAGUACGAGAGGACCGGGAUGGACACACCGCUGGUGUACCAGUUGUUCCGCCAGGAGCAUCGCUGGGUAGCUAUGUGUGGCAGGGAUAAACGCUGAAAGCAUCUAAGCGUGAAGCCCCCCUCAAGAUGAGAUUUCCCAUUUCUUCGGAAAGUAAGAUCCCUGAAAGAUGAUCAGGUAGAUAGGUUUGGAGUGGAAGUGUAGCGAUACAUGGAGCGGACAAAUACUAAUCGAUCGAGGACUUAACCAAAAA